GAUGAACGCUGGCGGCGUGCUUAACACAUGCAAGUCGAACGAGAAGUGAAGACGGAAACCUUCGGGCGGAAGGCUUUAUUUCGAGUGGCGGACGGGUGAGUAACGCGUGGGUAACCUGCCUCAUACAGGGGGAUAACAGUUGGAAACGACUGUUAAUACCGCAUAAGACCACAGCACCGCAUGGUGCGGGGGUAAAAACUCCGGUGGUAUAAGAUGGACCCGCGUUCGAUUAGCCAGUUGGCGGGGUAACGGCCCACCAAAGCGACGAUCGAUAGCCGAUCUGAGAGGAUGACCGGCCACAUUGGGACUGAGACACGGCCCAAACUCCUACGGGAGGCAGCAGUGGGGAAUAUUGCAUAAUGGGGGAAACCCUGAUGCAGCGACGCCGCGUGAGUGAAGAAGUAUUUCGGUAUGUAAAGCUCUAUCAGCAGGGAAGAAAAUGACGGUACCUGAGUAAGAAGCCCCGGCUAACUACGUG
rnacentral:rRNA from 1 species